rnacentral:rRNA from 1 species
GACAGAGGGUGCAACCGUUGUUCGGAAUUACUGGGCGUAAAGCGCGUGUAGGCUGCCCUGCAAGUCGGAUGUGAAAGCCCUGGGCUCAACCUAGGAAGUGCAUUCGAAACUGCAGGGCUGGAGUCCUGGAGAGGAAGGCGGAAUUCUCGGUGUAGAGGUGAAAUUCGUAGAUAUCGAGAGGAACACCGGUGGCGAAGGCGGCCUUCUGGACAGUGACUGACGCUGAGACGCGAAAGCGUGGGGAGCAAACAGG